GCUCUUAGAAAUUGCAGAGUUUGCAGAUUUAGCACCUAUAUAAACCUCAAUAGAUCAGAAUUCUCUAACAGAAACCUUGAACCAUUUGAAAGCACCAGCUAAGUGUGAAAAAUGGAGUCUCCACGGUCUACAUUUACCUUGUUCCUUGUUUUUAUCUACUUUAUGCAAACACUCAGUCUCGGAAACGGCGAUCCGACAAGAGGAGAUGAAACAGCAUUGGAAUCCAACAAUCAGGAGAGAAGAACCCGCUCCGCUUUCACUGUCCAGUACAAUGUAAGGGUACACCCCCCUGCCAAUACGCCCAUCAAGUUUCCAAAGGUUAUCUACAAUGAGGAUGGGGACUAUGACUGUGAAACCGGCCUGUUUACCUGCAAGGCCCCGGGGCUGUAUUACUUCUCUUUCCAGAUGCAGAUAUAUCAUAAGAGGCUGUAUGUCAAACUGAAGCACAAUUCUUCAACCGUCCUUGAGUGGUUUGAUCAAUUUGAUGGCCAUGAUGAAGAUAUCGCCUCUGGGUCCUCACUUUUGAAGUUGAAAAGUGGAGACAUAGUUUAUCUAGAGUUGUUGCCAGACCACGAAGGGUUGUAUGGAAAUGCUGUCUUUAAUGGUUUUUUACUGUAUCCUGAUUAUAAACCACCUGAAAAAUCUUUAAAAGAAAGCAAGCUGUAGUAAAGCAUAGCUAAGUUGUCCGCUUCAAAAUGCUCAGCCUCGUUCAUCUGUUAGGAGCUGCUGCCAUUAUGUGGCCACUGAGAAAAGUGCAUGUUCAAAGACAAAUUUGUCCGCCAUCUUGUGGCCACUAAAGGAAUUGAAAGUCCAUAAUCGUAGGCAUUUCCCAGCACUGACUUCUUUCUCAGUGAUAAUAUUAGCAUAGUGUCACUUGUUUCUUUAUACUGCGUAUUAAUCCUUUUUUAUACUGUCCUAAUAAAAGCUUUUUGCAUUAA